rnacentral:lncRNA from 1 species
CUAAAGAAGGAUAUUAUGGCACUAGAAAAAGUGCAGAGGCGGGCUACAAAACUAAUAAAAGGAAUGGAACAUAUCGGCUAUGAAGAAAGGUUAACAAAUUUAAACCUAUUUAGUUUAGAAAAACGUCGCCUGAGAGGGGAUAUGAUAACAUUAUACAAAUAUAUUCGGGGCCAAUACAAACCAUUGUGUGGAAAUCUAUUCACAAACCGGACUUUACAUAGGACACGAGGCCAUGCGUUUAG